rnacentral:misc_RNA from 1 species
GGAUCUGAAGAUUCAGGAGUUUCUCUGUUUUCUGUACUCUGCUUCUCCUGAUCUGCCGUGCUCUGUUUCACCGUCUCCGUUAGUUCCACCGAUUUUUCAUCCUUGUCGCCGGUCGUACUGGCGUUGCUACUACAACUACUAUUACUUUUCGUGUCCCCAAAAGAAGAGGAUCUACUAGACAUGGGUGUAGCCAAAUACGUGGGCUUGAUUUCUCCGGCCAUAAUAACCAAGAUUUUCUCUUCAAAAACAGGGGAAGGUUGUUUCUGGGUGUCGCCGUCGCCGGCCUCCAAGUCGGGGUCUCGGUUGGCAGCGUCACCGCCGUCUAAGUAGCCGGAGAGUUUCCAGUAAGAGCAAGCGAGGAUUAGAAGCGCAAAAGCGAUGAGUCCUAACAUAGCAGCCAAGCCACCGAACAAGUAAGGAACAGGGGAAUGCCAAGGGGAGUGCUGCUGCUGUUGUAGUUGAUCUUGAUGGGCCGCGGGUGCGGCGGAGUGCGGUAAAACGUUGAAGGGCUCUCUGCUAGCCGCCAUUGUUAGAAAAAGGGGCUGAAUUUAAUGGGUUUUUGUAUUUUGAAAUCG